CAGACAAAACAGUGAAGUACGAAGUGACGCGUAAAAAACCAAAUGACUUUUAUUUGGAUGAGUAGAAAGCCGCUAUGCCAAAGAUUGCCUUUAUUCUCUAACGGACAGAGAAAACCAUUUAUGUCUUUUCAUUUUUGGUUAGGGAUAUAUUUCUAUUAUAUGGAUCUUUCUCGAUAAUACUAGUAAUAUUGGCCAAGACGUUCAAUAAAAACAUUUUAUUUCUCUAAA